ACCUAGGUGGCUCAGUCGUUUAAGCAUCUGACUUCAGCUCAGGUCAUGAUCCCGCAGUUCGUGGGUUCAAGCCCCACAUUAGGCU
rnacentral:tRNA from 1 species